rnacentral:rRNA from 1 species
UGAGGAAUAUUGGUCAAUGGGCGAGAGCCUGAACCAGCCAAGUAGCGUGCAGGAUGACGGCCCUAUGGGUUGUAAACUGCUUUUAUAUGGGAAUAAAGUGAGGGACGUGUCCCUUAUUGCAUGUACCAUACGAAUAAGGACCGGCUAAUUCCGUGCCAGCAGCCGCGGUAAUACGGAAGGUCCAGGCGUUAUCCGGAUUUAUUGGGUUUAAAGGGAGCGUAGGCUGUUUGUUAUGCGUGUUGUGAAAUUUACCGGCUCAACCGGUGGCUUGCCUCUCGACCUCUUCUACUUCCGUAUUCUGUACGUCGUCGGCCUUCCUUUUGUAUCUGUGCAAUGCUUAUCUCUCAUUACGAACUCCGAUUUCGCAGGCCUCUUACUGUAGCAUAACUGACGCUGAUGCUCGAAAGUGCGGGUAUCAAACAGG